rnacentral:rRNA from 1 species
AUUGAACGCUGGCGGCAGGCCUAACACAUGCAAGUCGAGCGGAUGAAGGGAGCUUGCUCCUGGAUUCAGCGGCGGACGGGUGAGUAAUGCCUAGGAAUCUGCCUGGUAGUGGGGGAUAACGUCCGGAAACGGGCGCUAAUACCGCAUACGUCCUGAGGGAGAAAGUGGGGGAUCUUCGGACCUCACGCUAUCAGAUGAGCCUAGGUCGGAUUAGCUAGUUGGUGGGGUAAAGGCCUACCAAGGCGACGAUCCGUAACUGGUCUGAGAGGAUGAUCAGUCACACUGGAACUGAGACACGGUCCAGACUCCUACGGGAGGCAGCAGUGGGGAAUAUUGGACAAUGGGCGAAAGCCUGAUCCAGCAAUGCCGCGUGUGUGAAGAAGGUCUUCGGAUUGUAAAGCAAUUUAAGUUGGGAGGAAGGGCAGUAAGUUAAUACCUUGCUGUUUUGACGUUACCAACAGAAUAAGCACCGGCUAACUUCGUG